rnacentral:rRNA from 1 species
UUGCAGGCUGCAACCCGCCCUGUAUGAAGUUGGAAUCGCUAGUAAUCGCGGAUCAGCAUGCCGCGGUGAAUACGUUCCCGGGCCUUGUACACACCGCCCGUCACACCAUGAGAGUCGGGAACACCCGAAGUCCGUAGUCUAACUUUCACGAGAGGACGCGGCCGAAGGUGGGUCCGGUAAUUGGGGUGAAGUCGUAACAAGGUAGC